UACAGAGGGUGCGAGCGUUGUCCGGAAUUACUGGGCGUAAAGGGCGCGUAGGUGGCUUGGUAAGUAGGGGGUGAAAUCCUGCGGCUUAACCGCAGGGCUGCCUUCUAAACUGUCAGGCUAGAGCACGGUAGAGGCAGAUGGAAUUCCCGGUGUAGCGGUGGAAUGCGUAGAGAUCGGGAAGAACAUCAGUGGCGAAGGCGGUCUGCUGGGCCGUUGCUGACGCUGAGGCGCGACAGCGUGGGGAGCAAACAGG
rnacentral:rRNA from 1 species